CCCUUAGAUGUUCUGGGCUGCACACGCGCUACACUGAAGGGAUCAGCGUGUUCUUUUCCUGGUCCGAAAGGAUCGGGUAACCCGCUGAACCCCCUUCGUGGUAGGGAUCGGAGCUUGCAAUUAUUCUCCGUGAACCAGGAAUUCCCAGUAAGCGCAAGUCAUAAGCUUGCGUUGAUUACGUCCCUGCCCUUUGUACACACCGCCCGUCGCUACUACCGAUUGAAUGGUCCGGUGAAGCGUUCGGACCGUGGCCUUUGGACGGUUCGCCGUCUGUUGGCUGCGGGAAGUUCGUUAAACCUUAUCAUUUAGAGGAAGGAGAAGUCGUAACA
rnacentral:rRNA from 1 species